AUGGCUUUAGCUUUAGCCCUCAAAUUUGGCCUUACUCUGGUGCAAAGGGCGGGCUGCAAUCGCCUUAUUAUUAAUUCGAACAACCUUGAGGUGAUUGAUACCAUGUAGGACGAAGGACAGUCGGCGGGUGCGGCGGCGGCAAUCUAUGACGAUUGUUUUCUUUAUGCUUGUGACUUCGUUACUACUAGAUUCGAACAUUGUAACAGAGAAGUAAAUAAAGUUGCUCAUGAGCUCGCUAGAUUAGCUAGAUUUUGUUUGAUUUCUGAUUGGUUUGAGGAACCUCUAAAUGAAAUUGUAACAAUCCUCACAGACGAUGUAUUGUUAGUUUCUAAUCAAUAA
rnacentral:rRNA from 1 species